GAGGCCUUAGUUUAAAUAAAACGCCUGUUUUGCAAAUAGGUGUUACAGGUUGACCCCUGUAGGUCUUC
rnacentral:tRNA from 1 species